UACGUAGGGGGCAAGCGUUGUUCGGAAUUACUGGGCGUAAAGGGCGCGUAGGCGGCACGGCAAGUCGGGAGUGAAAGCCCGGGGCUCAACCCCGGAACGUCUCACGAAACUGCCGAGCUAGAGUGCGGAAGAGGCAACUGGAAUUCCCAGUGUAGCGGUGAAAUGCGUAGAUAUUGGGAAGAACACCUGAGGCGAAGGCGGGUUGCUGGGCCGACACUGACGCUGAGGCGCGAAAGCCAGGGGAGCAAACGGG
rnacentral:rRNA from 1 species